AACGAACGCUGGCGGCAUGCCUAACACAUGCAAGUCGAACGAGACCUUCGGGUCUAGUGGCGCACGGGUGCGUAACGCGUGGGAACCUGCCCUUAGGUUCGGAAUAACUCCCCGAAAGGGGUGCUAAUACCGGAUAAUGUCUUCGGACCAAAGAUUUAUCGCCUUUGGAUGGGCCCGCGUUGGAUUAGCUAGUUGGUAGGGUAAAAGCCUACCAAGGCGACGAUCCAUAGCUGGUCUGAGAGGAUGAUCAGCCACACUGGGACUGAGACACGGCCCAGACUCCUACGGGAGGCAGCAGCGGGGAAUAUUGGAAAAUGGGCGAAAGCCUGAUCCAGCAAUGCCGCGUGAGUGAUGAAGGCCUUAGGGUUGUAAAGCUCUUUUACCCGGGAUGAUAAUGACAGUACCGGGAGAAUAAGCUCCGGCUAACUCCGUG
rnacentral:rRNA from 1 species